rnacentral:sRNA from 1 species
GCUAGGCACGGUGACGCACCCCUGUAAUCCCAGUGGCUUGGGAGGCUGAGGCAGGAGGAUCACGAGUUCAAAGCCAGCCUCAGUCAAAGCAAAGCACUAAGCAACUCAAUGAGACCCUGUCUCUA